UCCUGCUUGGCUCAGUCGGUGGAGCGCUCCACUGGAAAUGGAGAGGUCCCUGGUUCGUACCAGGACCAGCUG
rfam:Ixodes scapularis strain Wikel colony gcontig_1107728776910, whole genome shotgun sequence.